GUGUGUGCAGGGGCAGAAUGUGCCAGAAUGUGCCAGAAUGUGCCGGCUCUCACCUUGCCCAGCUGCCGCUGAGAAAAACAAAGCACAAAGAGGGACCUGAAGUAUCUCCUUCUCAGAAGCCUGAUAAGGGACUGGAGUGGUGGCCAGAGCCGUGGAAUCCAACAAGAGGAACAUUACGUGGCAUGUGGCAUGGGGGGUAUUUCCAGAGGGUUCCAUCAGAGGGGCGGUGAGAAGCUCGGACUCACCUCCAGGAAGGGGUCCUGGGGUCCCUCCACGAACAGUCCAGACGUGAACGUACUUCAUCAAAGGGAAAGGGUCUGGGUUCAGGCGCCGGGGCCCCGUGAGUUUGGCUGCAAAAUAAAUUGCCCGGAAGAGAGAUUUUCAAGGCCGACCUUCCAUGUGGCUCAGAACGCUUACAUCCACCCGGGUCAAGGGGCCCCCUGCCCCCAAACUAGCCACCAGCUUCCCCCCCCCCACCUCCGGAACCGGAGCCACCCCAAACUUCUUUGCUUGUUGUGAGAAAGUAGUUGCGGACCAUGAAGAAACGGAUGGGUGUGGCUGCGUUCCAAUAAAACUUUAUGUAUAAAAUGGGCGCAGCCGGCCCCCGGGUUAUGGAAUUAAAGGGACUGGUUUGGAAUCUGGGUGCAGGCACCUGGCGUGAGAGAGAGGUCAUCCCAGCAGCAAGCCUACCCUUGUCCACGAGUAGGGUCCCAACCAAACUCCCUCUGGGGUAGGGGAGACCCUUCAGACAGUCACGGUAGCCCCCCCACCCAGCUCCCCCGCAAGGCAAGGAGGUGUCUUGUGUUUACAAACAUCACUAAUGAUCUCAGGGACCAGUUUGAGGGCAGAGGACUGAUUGUCCUGAGUCCCAGCGGUCCCCAGUGGCCUACGUGGACCCUGCUGGCCAGUGAUGAAAGCACCAGCUUGAGCUGGGGUCCUGUGUGUCCCCGGGGCAGCACCGCCCAGGAGGCCUGAGACGGCUGGCCAGUCCUCGCCACCCUUCCUUUAAGGUGGAGGGAACUGUCUCCACGCUAACAGCCACCCUCGGCCAGACACGUUGGGCUGGGGGCUUCCCACGUUCAUUGCAUUUGUACCCCCAGUGGACAGUAACCGGGGUAAACCCAGCUUACGUGUGCAGGUUCAGCAAGGCCAAGGAACCGGCCGCCCCACAGCGGUGGGGGGAGAUCCAUACACCCCAAAGCUCUGCUCUCCCUCCCUGUGGUCCAGGCUCCCCCCUCCCAAGGUGGAAAUGCUGGGGACACCUGUGCUCACCCCCGACCUUGGCAGACCUUUGAUAGGAAGCCGCCUCCCCAGGGGACCCGGAGGGCAUCCCUCACUGCUGGGGCUGUUUCUGGGAGUUAGAGGGGGACGAAUGCUCCUAGCUGCCUCUCCACUGAUCUCCCCCACCCCACCCCUCCCCCCCCGCUCCCCCCCCCCCCCGCAGGCUGUUGGGAGGUGAGACUUCAGUGUGGGUGGGGCUUGGUGGAUUCCCUCCAGCGCCUCAACAGAGAGGAUCUGAUAAGGUUAUAAUAGCGCCUUCUCCAUCAUCUCCUUGGGGAGCUCCAAGGAUGACCUCACCCCCGCAACUACCUAUGAGCCAAGAGAACAGGGCUGGGCCUCCCAUUCUAGAAAGGGAAAGAGGGCACCAAGGGGUUCCCUGUGGAAUAGGGAAUAGGCCCCGCCUUCCAGCCCCUCCCAGGCACAGCUGGUCCCCCACCCUCACUCUGACUGUUGAUCGCUAAGCACACAGCGGACACCUUCUAUAUGAAACAUGCUUUGCUUGGGGACAGGUCCCCAGCUAGAUCAGGGGUGAGGGCGAGAGUGGGGUGGGGCAGCCCGCUGAGGGCCUGGGUUUCCAGGUUUUCUGUUAAGGGCAGUGCUCUGUGGAACUGUGUGGCCAGAGCUGGGCCCAGGCACACGAGCAUGUCGCCUGCAGCGGUGGGACAGGCCAGCCCGGAGCGGGGAGGGCCACCUCCGGGAGAAGAGGGCUGAGAUGGGGUUGGUAUUAGUGGGGCAUCUCACACCGUGGAUGUCCCUCAGAUUAAUGCGCUGAGAUCACACACACAGGAUUCCCAAGGAACCCACCGAUGUCAAAGCACAGGUCCGCGAAAAUGAAACCCAGUGAGAGAGCAUCGUACCCGCUUCUUUGUGGACACCUUUGAUGGUAAGAUCAGGCUGCUGGGUGCAAUGACACCGCUGUUUCCACGCGGCGAGGCACCUCCACAGUGUCUCGAGCGGGAAGGGGCACGUGUGACAUGAUGUGAAAACAUCCGAGGGCUCGGCCAACGCCACUGAGGCUCACUGUUUGCGUUCUAAAUGAGACCGUUCAAAAAUUCAUUUAAAGGUAGGUAAAAAUAGGAUUUACUUCUUUUCUCCUGAAAGAAACUUUUUUUCUAAAAUGAAGAGAGGUGAGGUCAAUAGGCCUUAUCAAAGGUCAGGGGUGUGAGAAACACCGAGGUUAUCCCGGACCCCGAAGCGUGGCUGUUGGGGUGCAUGGUGAGGGGGCCCUAAGAAAAUUAGAAGUGGGUUGGAAUCCCCCGGUUUGAGCAGAA